rnacentral:rRNA from 1 species
CUGAAUAGGGCGCAUAAGUAACAGGUCGUAGACCCGAAACCAGGUGAUCUACCCAUGUCCAGGAUGAAGGUAAGGUAAUACUUACUGGAGGUCCGAACCCACGCACGUUGAAAAGUGCGGGGAUGAGGUGUGGGUAGCGGAGAAAUUCCAAUCGAACUUGGAGAUAGCUGGUUCUCUCCGAAAUAGCUUUAGGGCUAGCCUCGAGGUAAAGAGUCAUGGAGGUAGAGCACUGUUUGGACUAGGGGCCCUUCUCGGGUUACCGAAUUCAGAUAAACUCCGAAUGCCAUGUACUUAUACUCGGGAGUCAGACUGCGAGUGAUAAGAUCCGUAGUCGAAAGGGAAACAGCCCAGACCACCAGUUAAGGUCCCCAAAUAUAUGUUAAGUGGAAAAGGAUGUGGGGUUGCUUAGACAACCAGGAUGUUGGCUUAGAAGCAGCCACCAUUGAAAGAGUGCGUAAUAGCUCACUGGUCGAGUGACCCCGCGCCGAAAAUGUACCGGGGCUAAACAUAUUACCGAAACUGUGGAUGAACCUCUUUAGAGGUUCGUGGUAGGAGAGCGUUCUAAGGGCGGUGAAGUCAGACCGGAAGGACUGGUGGAGCGCUUAGAAGUGAGAAUGCCGGUAUGAGUAGCGAAAGAAGGGUGAGAAUCCCUUCCACCGAAUAUCUAAGGUUUCCUGAGGAAGGCUCGUCCGCUCAGGGUUAGUCGGGACCUAAGCCGAGGCCGAUAGGCGUAGGCGAUGGACAACAGGUAGAGAUUCCUGUACCAGUGCUAAUUGUUUAACCGAUGGGGUGACACAGAAGGAUAGGGAAUCGCACGAAUGGAAAUGUGCGUCCAAGCAGUGAGUGUGAGAAGUAGGCAAAUCCGCUUCUCGCGAAGCAUGAGCUGUGAUGGGGAAGGAAAUUAAGUACGGAAGUUCCUGAUUUCACGCUGUCAAGAAAAGCCUCUAGGAAGAGUAGUACUGCCCGUACCGCAAACCGACACAGGUAGAUGAGGAGAGAAUCCUAAGGUGAGCGAGAGAACUCUCGUUAAGGAACUCGGCAAAAUGACCCCGUAACUUCGGGAGAAGGGGUGCUCUAUUAGGGUGCAAGCCCGAGAGAGCCGCAGUGAAUAGGCCCAGGCGACUGUUUAGCAAAAACACAGGUCUCUGCAAAACCGUAAGGUGACGUAUAGGGGCUGACGCCUGCCCGGUGCUGGAAGGUUAAGAGGAGUGCUUAGCUUCGGCGAAGGUACGAAUUGAAGCCCCAGUAAACGGCGGCCGUAACUAUAACGGUCCUAAGGUAGCGAAAUUCCUUGUCGGGUAAGUUCCGACCCGCACGAAAGGCGCAACG